rnacentral:tRNA from 1 species
GGCGCUGUGGCUCAAGUGGUAGAGCGCUAGCCUUGAGCUGAAGAGCUGAGGUUCGAUUCCCCAGCACCA